GAUCUACAUCAUAAACAUCGAAAAAGUAAAGAUUGAACACUUUUUCAUCAAAACUCUCAAGAACACAAAGUUCUUGAGUUUAAUCUUUCAUAAACUCGUUUUUAGCCAUUAUUUUCGUUCAUUAACCAUGUUAAAAGCAUGUUAAACAUAUUAAGAACCUUAGAAACGAUUUCCAUCAAGAAAAUCCAUUCCAAACUAAAACGAAAAUGGGGUGGAGGAAGUUCGGGUGAGGAGAAAUCGACAUUCUCCCCUUCCUCGAGUCACCCACGAAUAUGAAAUCUACU
rnacentral:lncRNA from 1 species